GUUUAUGACAUGUCUUACAAAAUAAAUGCAAUUAAGGAACAAAACUCCUACUGAAACUACAUAUCAUCUAGGGAUAUAACACUCAUAUGAGUAUUGUACUCAUGAAAGACCUUAGGUGGUAAUCCUUUAGUGAGAUGAUCUACAAUCAUGGAGUUUGUUCCAAUAUGCUCUAUUAAUAUUUGCUUAUUCUGAACUCUUUCUUUAACAAUGAGGAA
rnacentral:lncRNA from 1 species